UUAUAGGCAUGACCACCACACUAGGCUCUUGCAGAUUCCUUAAGCUAGAGAAGGCUGGUGCUUGAUUUUUCCCUUGACAACAUUUUCAAUAAAAUUAUGCCGGGGAAGUGAGUACAAGAGGAUCCGUGGGGCUUGCCAGGGCCCUUUGAGAGGCUCGUCCUCAAAGAACAAGGUAGAUGAAAUCCAAGUCAGUGAAGCAAGUCAAACUGGCUUCUUCUCAAGACAAAGGCUUCCUAGUGAUGCUCUGACCAGGAAGUGCACUCUGCUGGAGGAAGUAUUUUACUGGGGGCUUUGAGAGUUCACAGCGUCAACCCUGUUGAACUUUCUCUGAGUCGUGUUUUGUGGUUGAAGACGUGAUCUCUGCUUCCUGCUCCUGUUCCUCACUGCCAUGCCUCCCUGCCAUGAUGGAUUCUUACCCCUC